rnacentral:lncRNA from 1 species
CCGGCGGAAGAAGACGAGAACACAGGAAAACCUGCACAUGAAGAUCCUGGCUGCUUCACCAUUGUCUACCAGUAUGAAGUUGGAGGCCUUCAGGUGCAAAAAGGUGGACAGUGGAUUCCUAUAGCGCCUUGCAAAGACAAACUAGUUGUUAACAUUGGUGAUGUGAUUCAGGUAAUUAUUAUACUUCGGCUGCUGGUUAACUCUAAUUUCAUUAGUUACCACUAUCCCAAAAUUUAAGCAAUCAACUAUUUUGUUGUUGACAUAAAAAAGGUGCUAAGCAACAAUAAAUUCAAGAGUGCAAUUCACAGAGUGGUGAGACCAACUGAAACCCACCGUUACUCGUGUGCGUUUUUCUAUAACUUGCAAGGAGACAAGUGGGUUGAGCCAUUACCACAGUUCACCACAGAAAUUGGAGAGUCGCCCGAGUACAGAGGAUUCCACUUCGACGAGUAUCUGCAGCUGAGACUCAGAAACAGGAGUCAUCCACCAGCUAGACCUGAAGAUUUCAUCCAUAUAACCCACUACUCAAUUUCCAGUUAGAGGAGUAUCGAAGUUUAUGUGAUCAGGGAUUUUUUUUUUUCUCUAUGUUAAAAGAAACAUGGCAAUAAUAUGUAUUACACCAGUCUUAUUCUUAAUAUGUAUUUUGAAGUGUGCCACUAUUUUAUUAAAUAAAAAAUUUAAGCCUGAUUCGUUGAAGAGGAAUCCAUAGAUUUAUAGCUGUGUGUCUUGCUGCUGUUUGUUAUUACAAUUUUAAUAUAUUGCAAUCUUGUUUCUUUCUAGCCUUUUUUCUUUUCCUAAUAAAGUCAAAAGUACUCCAUAUUGUUUAUUCUAGUUUUAGACACCAUGCAUCUGUCUUCUAAAAUUUAACUCCCUAAUAAAGCCAAAUGGAAUCUAGAGUACUGAGAGUUUUUCUAAACAAAUCUUUGAUAAUCAUCACACCAUAUCAUAACAUACUUAGUUUAAAAGUAGGAAAUUCCAUAAUUAAAAAGUUGAAAAUCCAAUUUGCCCACCAAAUAUUGAACGACCAUUUUACCCUUCAAUCAAAAAUUAUCUCUAUACUAUUUUAUGAACAACUUCUUUCGUUCCUAAUUAAUUGUCACUUUUUAGCUACACAACCCUGAACAAAAGCAUUAAUAUUAGUAUUUCUUUUUUCCUUGCAUAAGUCAUCUGCUCACUAUUUGCAUGUGCAUAUGCUUCUAUUUACAAAAUAAUGUGUAAAUAUAACAUUUUUUCAUUUUAAUUAUGCUACACAGUUUAUGUUUAGUCUUCUUUUAAAAAUAAAAAUUCAGGUAAUUAUUAUACUUCGGCUGCUGGUUAACUCUAAUUUCAUUAGUUACCACUAUCCCAAAAUUUAAGCAAUCAACUAUUUUGUUGUUGACAUAAAAAAGGUGCUAAGCAACAAUAAAUUCAAGAGUGCAAUUCACAGAGUGGUGAGACCAACUGAAACCCACCGUUACUCGUGUGCGUUUUUCUAUAACUUGCAAGGAGACAAGUGGGUUGAGCCAUUACCACAGUUCACCACAGAAAUUGGAGAGUCGCCCGAGUACAGAGGAUUCCACUUCGACGAGUAUCUGCAGCUGAGACUCAGAAACAGGAGUCAUCCACCAGCUAGACCUGAAGAUUUCAUCCAUAUAACCCACUACUCAAUUUCCAGUUAGAGGAGUAUCGAAGUUUAUGUGAUCAGGGAUUUUUUUUUUUCUCUAUGUUAAAAGAAACAUGGCAAUAAUAUGUAUUACACCAGUCUUAUUCUUAAUAUGUAUUUUGAAGUGUGCCACUAUUUUAUUAAAUAAAAAAUUUAAGCCUGAUUCGUUGAAGAGGAAUCCAUAGAUUUAUAGCUGUGUGUCUUGCUGCUGUUUGUUAUUACAAUUUUAAUAUAUUGCAAUCUUGUUUCUUUCUAGCCUUUUUUCUUUUCCUAAUAAAGUCAAAAGUACUCCAUAUUGUUUAUUCUAGUUUUAGACACCAUGCAUCUGUCUUCUAAAAUUUAACUCCCUAAUAAAGCCAAAUGGAAUCUAGAGUACUGAGAGUUUUUCUAAACAAAUCUUUGAUAAUCAUCACACCAUAUCAUAACAUACUUAGUUUAAAAGUAGGAAAUUCCAUAAUUAAAAAGUUGAAAAUCCAAUUUGCCCACCAAAUAUUGAACGACCAUUUUACCCUUCAAUCAAAAAUUAUCUCUAUACUAUUUUAUGAACAACUUCUUUCGUUCCUAAUUAAUUGUCACUUUUUAGCUACACAACCCUGAACAAAAGCAUUAAUAUUAGUAUUUCUUUUUUCCUUGCAUAAGUCAUCUGCUCACUAUUUGCAUGUGCAUAUGCUUCUAUUUACAAAAUAAUGUGUAAAUAUAACAUUUUUUCAUUUUAAUUAUGCUACACAGUUUAUGUUUAGUCUUCUUUUAAAAAUAAAAAUAAUAUCGC